rnacentral:rRNA from 1 species
UUAAGCGACUAAGCGUACACGGUGGAUGCCCUGGCAGUCAGAGGCGAUGAAGGACGUGCUAAUCUGCGAUAAGCGUCGGUAAGGUGAUAUGAACCGUUAUAACCGGCGAUUUCCGAAUGGGGAAACCCAGUGUGAUUCGUCACACUAUCAUUAACUGAAUCCAUAGGUUAAUGAGGCGAACCGGGGGAACUGAAACAUCUAAGUACCCCGAGGAAAAGAAAUCAACCGAGAUUCCCCCAGUAGCGGCGAGCGAACGGGGAGCAGCCCAGAGCCUGAAUCAGUGUGUGUGUUAGUGGAAGCGUCUGGAAAGGCGCGCGAUACAGGGUGACAGCCCCGUACACAAAAAUGCACAUGCUGUGAGCUCGAUGAGUAGGGCGGGACACGUGGUAUCCUGUCUGAAUAUGGGGGGACCAUCCUCCAAGGCUAAAUACUCCUGACUGACCGAUAGUGAAUCAGUACCGUGAGGGAAAGGCGAAAAGAACCCCGGCGAGGGGAGUGAAAAAGAACCUGAAACCGUGUACGUACAAGCAGUGGGAGCACGCUUAGGCGUGUGACUGCGUACCUUUUGUAUAAUGGGUCAGCGACUUAUAUUCUGUAGCAAGGUUAACCGAAUAGGGGAGCCGAAGGGAAACCGAGUCUUAACUGGGCGUUAAGUUGCAGGGUAUAGACCCGAAACCCGGUGAUCUAGCCAUGGGCAGGUUGAAGGUUGGGUAACACUAACUGGAGGACCGAACCGACUAAUGUUGAAAAAUUAGCGGAUGACUUGUGGCUGGGGGUGAAAGGCCAAUCAAACCGGGAGAUAGCUGGUUCUCCCCGAAAGCUAUUUAGGUAGCGCCUCGUGAAUUCAUCUCCGGGGGUAGAGCACUGUUUCGGCAAGGGGGUCAUCCCGACUUACCAACCCGAUGCAAACUGCGAAUACCGGAGAAUGUUAUCACGGGAGACACACGGCGGGUGCUAACGUCCGUCGUGAAGAGGGAAACAACCCAGACCGCCAGCUAAGGUCCCAAAGUCAUGGUUAAGUGGGAAACGAUGUGGGAAGGCCCAGACAGCCAGGAUGUUGGCUUAGAAGCAGCCAUCAUUUAAAGAAAGCGUAAUAGCUCACUGGUCGAGUCGGCCUGCGCGGAAGAUGUAACGGGGCUAAACCAUGCACCGAAGCUGCGGCAGCGACGCUGAUGCGUUGUUGGGUAGGGGAGCGUUCUGUAAGCCUGUGAAGGUGUGCUGUGAGGCAUGCUGGAGGUAUCAGAAGUGCGAAUGCUGACAUAAGUAACGAUAAAGCGGGUGAAAAGCCCGCUCGCCGGAAGACCAAGGGUUCCUGUCCAACGUUAAUCGGGGCAGGGUGAGUCGACCCCUAAGGCGAGGCCGAAAGGCGUAGUCGAUGGGAAACAGGUUAAUAUUCCUGUACUUGGUGUUACUGCGAAGGGGGGACGGAGAAGGCUAUGUUGGCCGGGCGACGGUUGUCCCGGUUUAAGCGUGUAGGCUGGUUUUCCAGGCAAAUCCGGAAAACUAAGGCUGAGGCGUGAUGACGAGGCACUACGGUGCUGAAGCAACAAAUGCCCUGCUUCCAGGAAAAGCCUCUAAGCAUCAGGUAACAUCAAAUCGUACCCCAAACCGACACAGGUGGUCAGGUAGAGAAUACCAAGGCGCUUGAGAGAACUCGGGUGAAGGAACUAGGCAAAAUGGUGCCGUAACUUCGGGAGAAGGCACGCUGAUAUGUAGGUGAAGUCCCUCGCGGAUGGAGCUGAAAUCAGUCGAAGAUACCAGCUGGCUGCAACUGUUUAUUAAAAACACAGCACUGUGCAAACACGAAAGUGGACGUAUACGGUGUGACGCCUGCCCGGUGCCGGAAGGUUAAUUGAUGGGGUUAGCGCAAGCGAAGCUCUUGAUCGAAGCCCCGGUAAACGGCGGCCGUAACUAUAACGGUCCUAAGGUAGCGAAAUUCCUUGUCGGGUAAGUUCCGACCUGCACGAAUGGCGUAAUGAUGGCCAGGCUGUCUCCACCCGAGACUCAGUGAAAUUGAACUCGCUGUGAAGAUGCAGUGUACCCGCGGCAAGACGGAAAGACCCCGUGAACCUUUACUAUAGCUUGACACUGAACAUUGAGCCUUGAUGUGUAGGAUAGGUGGGAGGCUUUGAAGUGUGGACGCCAGUCUGCAUGGAGCCGACCUUGAAAUACCACCCUUUAAUGUUUGAUGUUCUAACGUUGACCCGUAAUCCGGGUUGCGGACAGUGUCUGGUGGGUAGUUUGACUGGGGCGGUCUCCUCCUAAAGAGUAACGGAGGAGCACGAAGGUUGGCUAAUCCUGGUCGGACAUCAGGAGGUUAGUGCAAUGGCAUAAGCCAGCUUGACUGCGAGCGUGACGGCGCGAGCAGGUGCGAAAGCAGGUCAUAGUGAUCCGGUGGUUCUGAAUGGAAGGGCCAUCGCUCAACGGAUAAAAGGUACUCCGGGGAUAACAGGCUGAUACCGCCCAAGAGUUCAUAUCGACGGCGGUGUUUGGCACCUCGAUGUCGGCUCAUCACAUCCUGGGGCUGAAGUAGGUCCCAAGGGUAUGGCUGUUCGCCAUUUAAAGUGGUACGCGAGCUGGGUUUAGAACGUCGUGAGACAGUUCGGUCCCUAUCUGCCGUGGGCGCUGGAGAACUGAGGGGGGCUGCUCCUAGUACGAGAGGACCGGAGUGGACGCAUCACUGGUGUUCGGGUUGUCAUGCCAAUGGCACUGCCCGGUAGCUAAAUGCGGAAGAGAUAAGUGCUGAAAGCAUCUAAGCACGAAACUUGCCCCGAGAUGAGUUCUCCCUGACUCCUUGAGAGUCCUGAAGGAACGUUGAAGACGACGACGUUGAUAGGCCGGGUGUGUAAGCGCAGCGAUGCGUUGAGCUAACCGGUACUAAUGAACCGUGAGGCUUAACCUU